rnacentral:rRNA from 1 species
GAUGAACGCUGGCGGCGUGCCUAAUACAUGCAAGUCGAGCGAACAGAUGAGGAGCUUGCUCCUCUGACGUUAGCGGCGGACGGGUGAGUAACACGUGGAUAACCUACCUAUAGGCUGGGGAUACCUUGGGAAACCGGGACCUAUUACCGGUAAAUAUUUUGAACCGCAUGGUUCAAUGGUAAAGACCGUUUUUGUGUUCACUUUUAGAUGGUCCCGCGCGGCAUUAGCUAGUUGGUAAGGUAACGGCUUACCAAGGCAACGAUGCGUAGCCGACCUGAGAGGGUGAUCGGCCACACUGGAACUGAGACACGGUCCAGACUCCUACGGGAGGCAGCAGUAGGGAAUCUUCCGCAAUGGGCGAAAGCCUGACGGAGCAACGCCGCGUGAGUGAUGAAGGUCUUCGGAUCGUAAAACUCUGUUAUUAGGGAAGAACAAAUGUGUAAGUAACUAUGCACGUCUUGACGGUACCUAAUCAGAAAGCCACGGCUAACUACGUG